CGUCUCAUCUUAGGAUAAUACCUGAACCUUCUGGGAAGAACAGUGGACGCUGGGACCAGGACACAACUUUUCCAUCAGCAGCAUUUUGGCUACUUACCAACUGAAAUGGUUAACAGUAUGGGAAAUAAGAGAAGUCUAUUUCUUGUUACAACACUUCUGAAGGUUAAGCCUGAAGCAGAGCAUACUUGUUGUUUAAAACUGCAACAGUAUGUCUGUGUCUGGAUGAGAUGGAGAGCAAUUUACAAAUGUCAUCCACACAAUGGAGGUGGAGAAGAAGCCGUAGAAGAUGACACCCAACCAGAAACGUGCUGCAGUUUUGUCGUGAAUAUCCAGGAAGUCUCUGUGGUGCAGAUGUGACAGCAACAGCAGAACUUAUUUCAAGGUCCCGUCCCAUGAAGAAGCUGGUCCUAAUUAACCACUGGGCUACCUGCCUGCCU